GACGAACGCUGGCGGCGUGCUUAACACAUGCAAGUCGAACGGAAAGGCCCUGCUUUUGUGGGGUGCUCGAGUGGCGAACGGGUGAGUAACACGUGAGUAACCUGCCCUUGACUUUGGGAUAACUUCAGGAAACUGGGGCUAAUACCGGAUAGGAGCUCCUGCUGCAUGGUGGGGGUUGGAAAGUUUCGGCGGUUGGGGAUGGACUCGCGGCUUAUCAGCUUGUUGGUGGGGUAGUGGCUUACCAAGGCUUUGACGGGUAGCCGGCCUGAGAGGGUGACCGGCCACAUUGGGACUGAGAGACGGCCCAGACUCCUACGGGAGGCAGCAGUGGGGAAUAUUGCACAAUGGGCGGAAGCGUGAUGCAGCAACGCCGCGUGCGGGAUGACGGCCUUCGGGUUGUAAACCGCUUUCGCCUGUGACGAAGCGUGAGUGACGGUAAUGGGUAAAGAAGCACCGGCUAACUACGUG
rnacentral:rRNA from 1 species